rnacentral:rRNA from 1 species
GGGGGGGGGGGGGGGGGGGGGGGGGGGGGGGGGGGCGGGGGGGGGGGGGCGGCUGGUGUGGGGGGCGCGAGUGGGGAACGGGUGCGUAGCACGUGAGUAACCUGCCCUUGACUUUGGGAUAACUUCAGGAAGCUGGGGCUAAUACCGGCUAGGAGCUCCUGCUGCAUGGUGGGGGUUGGAAAGUUUCGGCGGUUGGGGAUGGACUCGCGGCUUAUCAGCUUGUUGGUGGGGUAGUGGCUUACCAAGGCUUUGACGGGUAGCCGGCCUGAGAGGGUGACCGGCCACAUUGGGACUGAGAUACGGCCCAGACUCCUACGGGAGGCAGCAGUGGGGAAUAUUGCACAAUGGGCGGAAGCCUGAUGCAGCAACGCCGCGUGCGGGAUGACGGCCUUCGGGUUGUAAACCGCUUUCGCCUGUGACGAAGCGUGAGUGACGGUAAUGGGUAAAGAAGCACCGGCUAACUACGUG